UGCCCAUAUAACACUUGGAAACAGGUGCUAAUACCGUAUAACACUAUUUUCCGCAUGGAAGAAAGUUGAAAGGCGCUUUUGCGUCACUGAUGGAUGGACCCGCGGUGCAUUAGCUAGUUGGUGAGGUAACGGCUCACCAAGGCCACGAUGCAUAGCCGACCUGAGAGGGUGAUCGGCCACACUGGGACUGAGACACGGCCCAGACUCCUACGGGAGGCAGCAGUAGGGAAUCUUCGGCAAUGGACGAGAGUCUGACCGAGCAACGCCGCGUGAGUGAAGAAGGUUUUCGGAUCGUAAAACUCUGUUGUUAGAGAAGAACAAGGAUGAGAGUAGAACGUUCAUCCCUUGACGGUAUCUAACCAGAAAGCCACGGCUAACUACGUGCCAGCAGCCGCGGUAAUACGUAGGUGGCAAGCGUUGUCCGGAUUUAUUGGGCGUAAAGCGAGCGCAGGCGGUUUCUUAAGUCUGAUGUGAAAGCCCCCGGCUCAACCGGGGAGGGUCAUUGGAAACUGGGAGACUUGAGUGCAGAAGAGGAGAGUGGAAUUCCAUGUGUAGCGGUGAAAUGCGUAGAUAUAUGGAGGAACACCAGUGGCGAAGGCGGCUCUCUGGUCUGUAACUGACGCUGAGGCUCGAAAGCGUGGGGAGCGAACAGGAUUAGAUACCCUGGUAGUCCACGCCGUAAACGAUGAGUGCUAAGUG
rnacentral:rRNA from 1 species